AUUGAACGCUGGCGGCAUGCCUUACACAUGCAAGUCGAACGGCAGCACGGGUGCUUGCACCUGGUGGCGAGUGGCGAACGGGUGAGUAAUGCAUCGGAACGUGCCUUUCAGUGGGGGAUAACGUAGCGAAAGUUACGCUAAUACCGCAUAUUCUCUCCGGAGGAAAGCAGGGGAUCGCAAGACCUUGCGCUGAUAGAGCGGCCGAUGUCGGAUUAGCUAGUUGGUGAGGUAAAGGCUCACCAAGGCGACGAUCCGUAGCGGGUCUGAGAGGAUGAUCCGCCACACUGGGACUGAGACACGGCCCAGACUCCUACGGGAGGCAGCAGUGGGGAAUUUUAGACAAUGGGGGCAACCCUGAUCCAGCCAUGCCGCGUGAGUGAAGAAGGCCUUCGGGUUGUAAAGCUCUUUUGGCCGGGAAGAAAUCGUGUGGGCUAAUAACCUGCAUGGAUGACGGUACCGGAAUAAGAAGCACCGGCUAACUACGUGCCAGCAGCCGCCGUAA
rnacentral:rRNA from 1 species